rnacentral:rRNA from 1 species
GAUGAACGCUAGCGGCAGGCUUAAUACAUGCAAGUCGAGGGGCAGCAGUUUUGUAGCAAUACAGAAGCUGGCGACCGGCAAACGGGUGCGGAACACGUACGCAACCUUCCUUUAACUGGGAGAUAGCCCACCGAAAGGUGGAUUAAUAUCCCAUAGUAUAUUUGAGUGGCAUCACUUAGAUAUUAAAGCUCCGGCGGUUAAAGAUGGGCGUGCGUCUGAUUAGGUAGUUGGCGGGGUAACGGCCCACCAAGCCCACGAUCAGUAGCUGAUGUGAGAGCAUGGUCAGCCACACGGGCACUGAGACACGGGCCCGACUCCUACGGGAGGCAGCAGUAAGGAAUAUUGGUCAAUGGACGCAAGUCUGAACCAGCCAUGCCGCGUGGAGGAUGAAGGUCCUCUGGAUUGUAAACUUCUUUUCUUUGGGACGAAACCCCUGUUUCUACGGGGACUGACGGUACCAGAGGAAUAAGCACCGGCUAACUCCGUGCCAGCAGCCGCCGUAAGAC